rnacentral:lncRNA from 1 species
GGUUAUGCAGAAACCUGACCACUCUCCAGCCCUCUGACCUUCGCCGGACUCUGAUUGCGGCGGAGCAAGCGAAGAUCCAACCACCAGGUAAGCCUUCCUCGUCCUUAACUCUUCCUUUUUCUUUUUUAUGCACGAUUAAUAAUAAAAAAAUAGAAAAGAAAAAAAGAAACGCAAAGAGAAAAAGAACUAAAAAAGAACACCUUCUUUCAGAAAUUUUUUGAUUUAUUUCUAUUGAUUCCUCUUCGGUGUUUUUUUACACCCGUUUUUUUGUAUUUCACUUCAUAUUCAAUCUCUGUGUAUUUUUUCUUGCAAAUCCGUGUUUGGCUUUUAUAUAGCCCAAAAGAAAAGUAAAAAUCCCUAUCUUCCUAUUUUUGCUUUUCUUUUUUAUCUCCUGUUACAAUUUUUUCACUGUAAGUAUGUUAUUACUUUUGUUGUUAGUCCGUUUCUUCUUUUUUUGCUGCUUUGGUUUGUCGUUUGUUGCAGGUUCGGCCAGCUGGAGGAGCAAGUGGGACGUGUACGGGGCUGCUGUGCGUGGGUGAGGUUGCUGCGGCGCGUGCAGAGGAGAGCCAAGGAGGCGCUAGAGGCUGUGCGACGCGAUAGGCUAGCUAGGGUUUUCAUUUUUUAUUUUUUCUGUUGGGUCAUACAGUAAUUGGGCUUGGUUUAUAUGGGCUGGGCAAAUUCGGGCUGAUGUAAUUGGACUUUUAUUAUUGGUUUUUGGUUUUAAUUUUUAUUUAUGAGGGCGGGGGCCAAAAUUGGGCCUUACAGUAUCCAUAUUGAUUAUUUUUAUACUAUUUUAAAAAAAAAACCAUUAAUUUUACCUUUUAAUUUACACAAGUGCUAACAUUUUGUAUAGACAUUUUAAAAUUUUCCUCUGUCCAAUCACACUAUAAAUUUGUUUGAAA